UAUCUGCAGCUCGAGUGGUAACCGCUAUUAUUGGGCCUAAAGCGUCCGUAGCCGGUUUGGUAAAUAUCUGGGUAAAUCGUGAGGCUUAACUUCACGAAUUUCGGAUAGACUGCCAGACUUGGGAUCGGGGGAGGUCAGAGGUACUCCAGGGGUAGCGGUGAAAUGUUGUAAUCCUUGGAGGACCACCGGUAGCGAAGGCGUCUGACUAGAACGAGUCCGACGGUGAGGGACGAAGCCCUGGGGCGCAAACCGGAUUAGAUACCCGGGUAGUCCAGGGUGUAAACGAUGUGGGCUUUGUAUUGGAGGUCCCACGUGGGCGUCCAGUGCAGAAGAGAAGUUGUUAAGCCCACCGCCUGGGAAGUACGGUCGCAAGGCUGAAACUUAAAGGAAUUGGCGGGGGAGCACAGCAACGGGAGGAGCGUGCGGUUU
rnacentral:rRNA from 1 species